AGAGAGUCCUAUAGGGGGAUGCAAGAUCCCUCACACAUUGAAAGGGGGAGAAAAGCAGGCGGAAUUCUUCCUUGCUGGGUUAUCCCUCCUUCCUGAAAUGAAUGGGAUCUACAAGGCUCUCAGGAGGUGAAGUCAAGGGCUCUCAGACUCAUAAGGUUCUUAGAACAGUGGACUGCAUACCAAAGAAAAACUUCGAGGACACUUGCAACACACCAACAAGUUGAAAAGGGAUAAGAAACCUUCAACAAUCAUCAGCCCAAGCACCAAGCUAAGGGAACUUUCUAACCUGUGCCGGCAGAUUGGCAGCUGGAUGAGGACCUGCUGUGGAUGUCUAGAGAGUGAAAGUUAAGUACCAGCUCAGAUUGUUGUGCCCUCAAUUUCUUGUUGCAUUUUUUUUCUUUUUUGAUCAUAAGCAUCAAACUGUGUAUCUCUGUCUAAAAGUUCUUCUAGCAAUUUGUUUUAAGGUGAAUGCAUUUAGGGUUAAGGGAAGAGAAGGGAACUCCUGGAGAAGUAAAAAGAAAGAAAUGCCAAUUGGAGAAUAAGAUUAUUUUGAAUGACUUCAAGUCACAAGAGGAGUGUUUGUAAGUGUGUAUUUGUAAGUACUUAUGCCCCAGGGUCUCUAGGCUAGUAUCAGUGAGGGGAGGGGUUAUUGAAGAAGAAA